rnacentral:rRNA from 1 species
UACGAAGGGGGCUAGCGUUGUUCGGAAUUACUGGGCGUAAAGCGCACGUAGGCGGCAUUGCAAGUCGGAUGUGAAAUCUUAUGGCUUAACCAUAAAAGUGCAUCCGAAACUGCAGUGCUUGAGUACUUAAGAGGAUCGCGGAAUUCCCGGUGUAGAGGUGAAAUUCGUAGAUAUCGGGAGGAACACCAGUGGCGAAGGCGGCGAUCUGGGAAGAUACUGACGCUGAGGUGCGAAAAGCGUGGGGAGCAAACAGGG